CGUUGAAGAAGUCAGGCGCUUAGCGAAUUCCGGCGUUCCUACAUUCGGUAUUUGUUUCGGCCAUCAAUUACUUGGCAGGGCAUUCGGUGGGACGACUCGUAAAUUACUUUUUGGUCAUCGCGGUGGUAAUCAACCGGUCAAGGAUCUGGAUGAUGGUUCAGUCGAGAUCACAUCACACAAUCAUGGAUUCGCUGUCCUCGCAGAAAGCUUGCCACCCGAGAUCGAGGUAAC
rnacentral:misc_RNA from 1 species